rnacentral:lncRNA from 1 species
UGGGGAGGGAUCAUGAGGCUGAUGUUGAUUUAGGAUUUAUUCCAUUGAAAUAUGUUUAGGUGGGGAUACCUGUGAAUUAAUUGAUCCUGAUAAUGAAACCUGCAAAAUAUUUGAUAACAAUAAUAGUUUUUUUGUUUUUGUUUUUUUUUUUCCUUUUCUCCAACUUCAAUCAAGAAGAACAGAAUUGGCUACAUAUAUUUUUUCUGAAAAUAAAAUAAUAUUAACAUAAUAAUUAGACAUAUAGAGGUACCUCUUCUUUCUCACGUAACAGUAUAGGGAAUUCAUUUGUCGCUUU